GUGUUCCUGCUGCCUGUGUGUUUUUAUCCCUUUGUCUCCACCAGCCUGUGUUGUCCCUUCCUGCCUACUUAUCUACCCUUCUACCUAUGAGCUUCACAGAAUCUGGAUGUGACUCUCCUUCAUCACUGUGUUGCCUUGCCAUGACCUUUGCCGAUUGACACUCAGCGGUCCCAGAUGACCAGAGGACUGCCGGACAAUCCCGAGAGGAGAGAAUACAACACAGAGAUGGUAGAGCUGCAUGGAGAUGAAGCACAACAGAGAGAAGAGAGAAUAUCCAGCAGAGAGAAAAUGAUGAGGCAGCGAGGCAGAGGCCGUGGCUUUUCUCAGAGAUGAACAUUAAUAAUAUGACCAGCCACAAUAGAAGCACUGAGAUCAGAGAGAUCACCUCCAUUGUCCCGCCAUCUCCUACUGACACCGACCGCUCUGGUGAAGGAAGAAUAAGAAGAAUAGAGGAGCAUAACCUGGCCGCUCA